rnacentral:rRNA from 1 species
CGUUAAGUAUCUCGACGACGCCUGAUUUCGUCUGAUCUCAGGAAGUUCAGCGGGGUUGGGUCUGGUUCAUAUUUGGAUGGGAGACCUCCAGCUAUAGGUAAAAGAUUUAAGGA